GACGACCGCUGGCGGCGUGCUUAACACAUGCAAGUCGAACGGAAAGGCCCUGCUUUUGUGGGGUGCUCGAGUGGCGAACGGGUGAGUAACACGUGAGUAACCUGCCCUUGACUUUGGGAUAACUUCAGGAAACUGGGGCUAAUACCGGAUAGGAGCUCCUGCUGCAUGGUGGGGGUUGGAAAGUUUCGGCGGUUGGGGAUGGACUCGCGGCUUUCAGCUUGUUGGUGGGGUAGUGGCUUACCAAGGCUUUGACGGGUGGCCGGCCUGAGAGGGUGACCGGCCACAUUGGGACUGAGAUACGGCCCAGACUCCUACGGGAGGCAGCAGUGGGGAAUAUUGCACAAUGGGCGGAAGCCUGAUGCAGCAACGCCGCGUGCGGGAUGACGGCCUUCGGGUUGUAAACCGCUUUCGCCUGUGACGAAGCGUGAGUGACGGUAAUGGGUAAAGAAGCACCGGCUAACUACGUG
rnacentral:rRNA from 1 species